GCCUCGUUAGCGCAGUAGGCAGCGCGUCAGUCUCAUAAUCACUUGCUGAAGAGCAAUCUGAAGGUCGUGAGUUCGAUCCUCACACGAGGCA
rnacentral:tRNA from 1 species